rnacentral:tRNA from 1 species
AAAGGCUGUAGCCCAGUGGUAUGGCAUCUGCUUUGCACGCAAAAGGUCCUAGUUCCAUCCUGAGCAUCUUAA